rnacentral:rRNA from 1 species
CGCAUCUGUGCAUGCAGCAUAUCAAUAAGCGGAGGAAAAGAAACUAACAAGGAUUCCCCUAGUAACGGCGAGUGAAGCGGGAAGAGCUCAAAUUUGAAAUCUUAAAGGGUUUCCCUUUACGAAUUGUAGUUUAAAGAAGUGUUUUCUGUUGAGGUUUUGGUAAAAGUUCUUUGGAAUAGGACAUCAUAGAGGGUGAGAAUCCCGUAUUUGACCUUUACUUUCAACUUUGUGAUACACUUUCAAAGAGUCGGAUUGUUUGGGAAUGCAGUCCAAAAUGGGUGGUAAAUUUCAUCUAAAGCUAAAUAUUGGCGAGAGACCGAUAGCGAACAAGUACCGUGAGGGAAAGAUGAAAAGAACUUUGAAAAGAGAGUUAAACAGUACGUGAAAUUGUCAAAAGGGAAGCGUUUGACACCAGUGUUGUUUUUCUGAAAAUCAAUUAAAGAACUGUUUAUGCUAAGCUGUUUAGACUUUAUCAGCUAACUGUUUAGUUUUGAGCUUUUCUUUAAUGCACUUUUCAGUUAACAAGUCAACAUCAAUUUCUUUUGCUGUAAAAAAGCUUGAGGAAGGUGGCUUGAGAUUCGUCUUAAGUGUUUAUAGCCUCUUGCCUACUGCAGUCGGAGAGAUUGAGGUCUGCAGCAUAGAUCCUUCGGGGCUAAAUGCAUUUGUGCUAAGUUAUAGCAUUUUAUAGACAACUUGUUGACUAUGAUUUGUCUUGUAGCUUACUCGCUUAUGUUAUUUUACCUACGCUUAGGAUGUUGAGUCAUCACACAUCUCU